ACUUCCUUUUAAUUGACAAAGCAUUUACAGAUACCAUACAUUCAAAUGGAAGCGAGUGAGUGAUUAGAAUAAGACUGAACACACAGGAAGAAUCGGUUCCCGCUUGGCCAUGGUGCAGCAACAUAUUCCACACAGACACGCUCCACAUUCAUAUGUAGGCAGCUAAGCUUGUCCGGAUUUAUUUAAGAUAGAUGUUUACAAAAUUCCAGUUAACAAAAUUUGUAGCUUAAAAUUAAUCACAAUACUUAGUUUGAUAGAUCAUGGGUAUUUCCCGAAAGCGACGACAGCAUUUAUUGUACGUAACAUGCCAUAAGCCAGCUGUUUUGAUAUAGUGCUGUAAGGGAGAGGAGGUGGCGUAGUAAUGGCAAGAGUGCAGGGCAACUUAGAUGAAAAAACUACUGCUUGAGACAAAGGGCAGGACUAAAAAACACCUUGAAUACCCUGCUGCUGCAAUGCCAGAGACUGACGUGCGAUGGAUUUUUAAUGUAUAGAGUAAGUUUAUUUAUGGGUAAUGUUGUGUGACUGUGCAACUGGAUUAAUGGCAAAGACAUCAACUGAAUGAUGAAAAAGUUUAUUAGGAGUCGAUGGAGUGGAUGGUUGUAACAUGAACAAGUUUCCGACAGCAUAGCUAGAACAUACACGGUUGCGGUCUUGGCAUUGUCUCUAUUCUAGUAUGCAGAGCGGAAAGCAUGCGCAUAUCGAAUAAUUAUAAUGCUCCAGAAAGUUUAUGGAGAUUGGCUAAUUCGGAAAUUAAAGACUAUGGGAGUUGUUCAACUGUACGAGAAAUUGUGAUAUGAACAGCUGCCGUCAGGAUAGCUGGAACAUACACGGUUGCGGUCUUGGCAUUGUCUCUAUUCCAGUAUGCAGA